CCUACGGGAGGCAGCAGUGAGGAAUAUUGGUCAAUGGCCGGAAGGCUGAACCAGCCAUGCCGCGUGAAGGUCAGUGCCCUUUGGGCGUUAAACUUCUUUUGUGCGGGAGCAAUAAUGGUCACGUGUGUCCAGACUAGAUUAACGUACGAAUAAGCAUCGGCUAACUCCGUGCCAGCAGCCGCGGUCAUACGGGGGGUGCAAGCGUUAUCCGGAUUUAUUUGGUUUAAAGGGUGCGUAGGCUGUGAGGUAAGUCAACGGUGAAAUGCCCCCGCUCAACGGGGUGAAGUGCCAUUGAUACUGGCGAGCUGGAAUGCGUAUGCGGUGAGAGGAA
rnacentral:rRNA from 1 species